GAGGGGGCGCGCCGGGGAAGGGGUGGAAGAAAGUGGGCUGGAGGAGGAGCGUCACAGAUAUCGUGACAAGUCGUUUCCGUGCGCCCGAGAGCGUGUGAAUUGCGCCUAAUUACUGUGUCCGGUGCGCCUCAGCAUAGACAUGGUGUCGGACGCUGGACGCGGAUCCCGGAGUACUUCCGGGGCCGAGCUCAGGUCGCCGGGGGCCCCAGGAGCGGUUUUAACUUUCGCCUGACUCUCCUGUUCUGACGUCACGGGCCAGAGGAGCAGCCCGGCCUGCCGACGAGAUUUUUGCGACAGUUAAUGGAGUCAAGUUGGUGAAAGAUCACAAGCAGAAAGAGCUCAGCUGGUGGCAGUCUUUAAAAAUUUACUCAUGAGUUGGAUGAAAAAAAAUAGGACGAUUCCAAGAUUGUUGGCCUUAACAAAAAAGGAAUUUUCCAUUUAAGGACAUGAAAGAGAGUAAGAAAAGUAAGUUUAUGGAAAAGCAGGAAUUUGUGGUUCAGUUUUGACUAUGUCUAAACAAAGUAGUCAUUUUGUGUAAGUAGUUCUAUAUAUAAACAUCUGGAGUUCAGGAGAAAACUUGAGUUGGAGUUAUAACUUCAUAUGUGGCAUUUAGAGUCUUAAGAGUGAAUAAGAUAGGGCACCAAAGUAAAAACCCUAUGGUGAGGGGUAG